rnacentral:rRNA from 1 species
AGUCUUCGGACCUUUGUGAAGGUGCUGCAUGGUUGUCGUCAGCUCGUGCCGUGAGGUGUCGGCUUAAGUGCCAUAACGAGCGCAACCCUCGCCGCCAGUUACUAACAGUUAAAGCUGAGGACUCUGGCGGGACUGCCAUCGUAAGAUGUGAGGAAGGUGGGGAUGACGUCAAAUCAGCACGGCCCUUACGUCCGGGGCUACACACGUGUUACAAUGGGCGGUACAGAAGGCAGCUACCUGGCGACAGGAUGCCAAUCCCUAAAGCCGCUCUCAGUUCGGACUGGAGUCUGCAACCCGACUCCACGAAGCUGGAUUCGCUAGUAAUCGCGCAUCAGCCACGGCGCGGUGAAUACGUUCCCGGGCCUUGUACACACCGCCCGUCAAGCCAUGAAAGCCGGGGGUACCUGAAGUGCGUAACCGCAAGGAGCGCCCUAGGGUAAAACCGGUAAUUGGGGCUAAGUCGUAACAAGGUAGCCGUACCGGAAGGUGCGGCUGGAACACCUCCUUUCUGGAGC